ACGGGUGAGGAAUACAUCGGAAUUUGCCCUGUCGUGGGGGAUAACGUAGGGAAACUUACGCUAAUACCGCAUACGACCUAACGGUGAAAGCGGGGGAUCGCAAGACCUCGCGCGGCUGGAGAAGCCGAUGUCAGAUUAGCUAGUUGGCGGGGUAAUGGCCCACCAAGGCGACGAUCUGUAGCUGGUCUGAGAGGAUGAUCAGCCACACUGGGACUGAGACACGGCCCAGACUCCUACGGGAGGCAGCAGUGGGGAAUAUUGGACAAUGGGCGCAAGCCUGAUCCAGCAAUGCCGCGUGUGUGAAGAAGGCCUUCGGGUUGUAAAGCACUUUUAUCAGGAGCGAAAUCUGCAGGGCUAAUACCCAUGCAGUCUGACGGUACCUGAGGAAUAAGCACCGGCUAACUUCGUGCCAGCAGCCGCGGUAAUACGAAGGGUGCAAGCGUUACUCGGAAUUACUGGGCGUAAAGCGUGAGUAGGUGGUUUCUUAAGUCUGCUGUGAAAGCCCCGGGCUCAACCUGGGAAUUGCAGUGGAUACUGGGGAGCUAGAGUGCGGUAGAGGGUAGUGGAAUUCCCGGUGU
rnacentral:rRNA from 1 species